UACACACGGAUAACAUACCGAAAGGUAUGCUAAUACGGGAUAAUAUAUUUGAGAGGCAUCUCUUGAAUAUCAAAGGUGAGCCAGUACAGGAUGGACCCGCGUCUGAUUAGCUAGUUGGUAAGGUAACGGCUUACCAAGGCGACGAUCAGUAGCCGACCUGAGAGGGUGAUCGGCCACAUUGGAACUGAGACACGGUCCAAACUCCUACGGGAGGCAGCAGUGGGGAAUAUUGCACAAUGGGCGAAAGCCUGAUGCAGCAACGCCGCGUGAGUGAUGAAGGCCUUCGGGUCGUAAAACUCUGUCCUCAAGGAAGAUAAUGACGGUACUUGAGGAGGAAGCCCCGGCUAACUACGUGCCAGCAGCCGCGGUAAUACGUAGGGGGCUAGCGUUAUCCGGAUUUACUGGGCGUAAAGGGUGCGUAGGCGGUCUUUCAAGUCAGGAGUGAAAGGCUACGGCUCAACCGUAGUAAGCUCUUGAAACUGGGAGACUUGAGUGCAGGAGAGGAGAGUGGAAUUCCUAGUGUAGCGGUGAAAUGCGUAGAUAUUAGGAGGAACACCAGUUGCGAAGGCGGCUCUCUGGACUGUAACUGACGCUGAGGCACGAAAGCGUGGGGAGCAAACAGGAUUAGAUACCCUGGUAGUCCACGCUGUAAACGAUGAGUACUAGGUGUCGGGGGUUACCCCCUUCGGUGCCGCAG
rnacentral:rRNA from 1 species